GGAGCAGCACAGAUCUCCUCCAACAUUAGCACUCGAGCCACAGCUCCCACUCAGCGCCAGCACCUUCAGCACUAUGUACGCCAGGAUGCAGCUGCUGAUUCUCCUGUGCCUCAUCGCAAUGGUCGCCGCCGCCGCCAUCGCUGAUCCCGACAAGGACAACCAAGACCACAGUGGAGGGAAGUCCAUCUUUGAAAAAAUGGCCGAUGCCUUUAGAAGACUGUUUGUAAAAGAUGAGAAGUCAAUGAAACAUUAACGAAACCUGCCUCAUCUCGAACCUAACUUAAGCUACCUAACCUAACCUAACAGUAUUCUGACCCAAUGUAACCUGACCUUAGAAAUUACUUGUCCCAAUCUUAACACCCUUGCGAUUUUAUUAGGUGUGUUAUCCACCAAGGGGUUAACACGCUGCUGUUUUGCAAUGCUGUAGGUUAUUGUGACAGCUAAUUGAUGGAUUCAUUUGUGAUGUAGAUUCAGUGUUCAACGUUUAUCUAUUUAUCUAUUUAUUGCAUACUGCUCCAGUUCUAAGAUUGUUCAGUGUUUAUAGACAUGCAUUACUAAUUGGUGUUGUUCAAUAAAUUAUCAUAUAACAAUGUAAAA